rnacentral:lncRNA from 1 species
UGCACGCAGGGUACAGGCUGCUCAGACGUUAGAGGAUGGGGAGGGUCCCUCCGGCCAGAGGGGUGCUGGUCCCGGCCCCGCGUCACCCCGCGUUGCCCCAGGGAAAGGACACAAAGGAGACUGAGUGGAGCAACGUGGCUGAGGCCACGCUCCAGCGGGAAAAAAACCGGUUCUCUCUGAGCUUCGCGCGAUAGCUGGCGAGGUUCGACUGCGACCCUGCUCACCAUUGCCGUAAAGCGUCGCCCGCGUUACCCCGCCAAUACGACCCCAUUCCCCACUCGCCGCCCCGGCCCACCGUCGUGGGCGUCUCCUCGGAGACGCAAGGGAGGUAGAGUGCUGAGGUGGGAGGGGUUGAUCCUCGCCCCGCGUCGUGGGCGUCUCCUUGGAGACGCACUGGAGGGUUCAUGCCGCCAGCGACGAAAGUGAAGGAAUGGAAAAAAGGAAAUUUUACCAUUCGACAGUCGCAAAACUAGAGGAAAAAAGUUUAAGUGCAGUUAAGAAAAUCAAAGGGCUUGAUCAACAGCUUAUACAUUGCCUUGGUUUGGACCCAGAGUGCAAGCACAGACGAAGAGCGGACACUGACUUCACACUUCUGAUAGGUA